rnacentral:rRNA from 1 species
CACGUAGGCGGCAAACGUUAUCCGGAUUUACUGGGCGUAAAGCGCGUGUAGGUGGUUCUGUAAGUAGGGCGUGAAAGCUCCUGGCUCAACUGGGAGAGGCCGUUCUAAACUGCAGAGCUAGAGGAUGGUAGAGGAAGGUGGAAUUCCGGGUGUAGCGGUGGAAUGCGCAGAUAUCCGGAGGAACACCAGUGGCGAAGGCGGCCUUCUGGACCAUUCCUGACACUCAGACGCGAAAGCUAGGGUAGCAAAC